rnacentral:rRNA from 1 species
AUCUUGUCUGAUCUUGGAAGCUAAGCAGGGUUGGGUCAAGUUAGCACUUGGAUGGGAGACC